GUGGGGAAUAUUGGACAAUGGGCGAAAGCCUGAUCCAGCCAUGCCGCGUGUGUGAAGAAGGUCUUCGGAUCGUAAAGCACUUAAAGUUGGGAGGAAGGGCAGUAAGUUAAUACUUUGCUGUUUUGACGUUACCGACAGAAUAAGCACCGGCUAACUUCGUGCCAGCAGCCGCGGUAAUACGAAGGGUGCAAUCGUUAAUCGGAAUUACUGGGCGUAAAGCGCGCGUAGGUGGUUUUGUAAGUUGGAGGUGGAAGCCCAGGGCUCAACAUGGGAACUGCCGCAAGAACUGCAUGACUAGAGUACGGUAGAGGGUAAUGGAAUGUCCUGUAUAGCGGUGAAAUGCGUAGAUAUAGGAAGGAACACCAGUGGCGAAGGCGACUACCUGGACUGAUACUGACACUAAGGUGCGAAAGCGUGGGGAGCAAACAGGAUUAGACACCCCGGUAGUCC
rnacentral:rRNA from 1 species